AUACUGCCUGCUGUGCAGAGGGCACACUUAGGAUCAUGAGCCAUCAGCUCCUCUGGGGCCAGCUAUAGGACAACAGAACUCUCACCAAAGGACCAGACACAGAUGCUCAGGAAUUCAGUGAUGUGGAGAGGGCCAUUGAGACCCUCAUCAAGAACUUCCACCAGUACUCUGUGGAGGGUGGGAAGGACACACUGACCCCCUCUGAGCUACAGGACCUGGUCACCCAGCAGCUGCCCCACCUCAUGCCGAGCAACUGUGGCCUGGAAGAGAAAAUUGCCAACCUGGGCAGCUGCAAUGACUCUAAACUGGAGUUCAGGAGUUUCUGGGAGCUGAUUGGAGAAGCGGCCAAGAGUGUGAAGCUGGAGAAGCCUGUCCGGGGGCGCUGAGAACUCCCUCUGGAAUUCUUGGGGGGUGUUGGGGAGAGACUGUGGGCCUGGAAAUAAAACUCCUCUCCUCUACCACCACCCUAUACCCUAGCCUGCACCUCUCCUCAU
rnacentral:sRNA from 1 species